rnacentral:sRNA from 1 species
AAAGAAAAAAGAAAGUGAACUUUUCACUUGUAGAGAACGCGUGUGAAACGCAUACCCCAAUAACAUGGUAACAUGUGGCAUAUGUGGACUCAAAAAACAAACUUUCAAU